ensembl:snRNA U6 U6 spliceosomal RNA
AUGAUCGCUUUGGCAGCACUUACACUACAACUGGAAAAAUACAGAGAAGAUUAGCAUGGCCCCUGCAUGAGGAUGACCUCGAAAUUUGCAAAGCAUUCCAUAUUUUU